rnacentral:rRNA from 1 species
GAUGAACGCUGGCGGCGUGCCUAAUACAUGCAAGUCGAGCGAACAGACGAGGAGCUUGCUCCUCUGACGUUAGCGGCGGACGGGUGAGUAACACGUGGAUAACCUACCUAUAAGACUGGGAUAACUUCGGGAAACCGGAGCUAAUACCGGAUAAUAUAUUGAACCGCAUGGUUCAAUAGUGAAAGACGGUUUUGCUUUCACUUAUAGAUGGAUCCGCGCCGCAUUAGCUAGUUGGUAAGGUAACGGCUUACCAAGGCAACGAUGCGUAGCCGACCUGAGAGGGUGAUCGGCCACACUGGAACUGAGACACGGUCCAGACUCCUACGGGAGGCAGCAGUAGGGAAUCUUCCGCAAUGGGCGAAAGCCUGACGGAGCAACGCCGCGUGAGUGAUGAAGGUCUUCGGAUCGUAAAACUCUGUUAUUAGGGAAGAACAAAUGUGUAAGUAACUAUGCACGUCUUGACGGUACCUAAUCAGAAAGCCACGGCGAACUACGUG